AACGGUCUAUACCUGCGGUACCUGCGGAGGGAUCAUUACAGAGCCUAAAAACUCUCAAACCCACUGUUAAUUAUACCUUUUUUGUUGCUUUGGCGGGCAGUCCCAGGGCGGGGCCUUGCCUGUAUUUUUGCAGGUGUCCGCCGAAAGCACUCCUAAAAUUCUUUUUUUAUAGCUGUCUGAGUUUUAAAAAAAAUAAGUCAAAACUUUUAACAACGGAUCUCUAGAUCGGAAGAGCACACG
rnacentral:misc_RNA from 1 species